rnacentral:rRNA from 1 species
CAGUAGCCGCGGUAAUACGGAGGGUGCAAGCGUUAUCCGGAUUUAUUGGGUUUAAAGGGUCCGUAGGCGGACUUAUAAGUCAGUGGUGAAAGCCUGUCGCUUAACGAUAGAACUGCCAUUGAUACUGUAAGUCUUGAGUAUAUUUGAGGUAGCUGGAAUAAGUAGUGUAGCGGUGAAAUGCAUAGAUAUUACUUAGAACACCUAUUGCGAAGGCAGGUUACCAAGAUAUAACUGACGCUGAGGGACGAAAGCGUGGGUAGCGAACAGGAUUAGAUACCCCGGUAGUCCCUGUCUCUUAUAC